UAGCGCCUACGGGAGGCAGCAGUGGGGGAUAUUGCACAAUGGAGGAAACUCUGAUGCAGCGACGCCGCGUGAGGGAAGACGGUCUUCGGAUUGUAAACCUCUGUCUUUGGGGAAGAAAAUGACGGUACCCAAAGAGGAAGCUCCGGCUAACUACGUGCCAGCAGCCGCGGUAAUACGUAGGGAGCGAGCGUUGUCCGGAAUUACUGGGUGUAAAGGGAGCGCAGGCGGCACGGCAAGCCUGAUGUGAAAGCCCGCGGCCCAACCGCGGGACUGCAUUGGGAACUACCGGGCUGGAGUGCCGGAGG
rnacentral:rRNA from 1 species